rnacentral:tRNA from 1 species
AGAAGCAUAGCUUAGUUGGUAGAGCAACGGUCUCCAAAACCGUGUGUCAGAGGUUCAAGUCCUCUUGCUUCUG